UAGCGUAGGGGGCAAGCGUUUGUUCCGGGAAUUAUUGGGCGUAAAGAGCGUGUAGGCGGUCCGGUAAGUCAGCUGUGAAAGUCAAGGGCUCAACCCCUUGAAUGCCGGUUGAUACUGUCGGGCUAGAGUCCGGAAGAGGCGAGUGGAAUUCCCGGUGUAGUGGUGGAAUGCGUAGAUAUCGGGAGGAACACCAGUGGCGAAGGCGACUUUCUGGCCUGUUCUUGACGCUGAGGCGCGAAAGCCAGGGGAGCGAACGGG
rnacentral:rRNA from 1 species